UGUUAAAGUCGUGAAAUAAUUUGUUUUUAAAUAUCUUGUUCAUGGUUUUAUUAUUACAGUUUUUAUCCGUCAAAGGAAUCUGGUUUAGAUGUAAAGAAGGUAGACUAAUUUGUGCCUUAGAGUAAUACAAAUAACCUUGAAUCAAACUCAACAGAGGUAAGGGGAUUGCCUUACAAACCUUGUCAUAUUCUCUAAGGGAACACUGAAUGUUAAACUUCGCAUUAAAAACACCCACUGAGAGAAACUGACCCCUUUCAUCAAGUAAGUCUGUUAUAAAGAUUAUGUUUUUUUCAAACCACUCUUUAAUAAACAAUGACUUCUUAUUAAUUGUAAUUGUUCUGUUAUUCCACAAGGUGGAGCAAUGUGGUGAAAAGUUAUGGGCAAACACCAUCUUCCAAUAAGACAAGACCUGCUUAUGAUAUUCUGACAGUUUCACAGGCAACUUCAAUAUAUCAAAAUCACAUUUCAGGAGAAAAUCCAACCCUCCCACCUUUUUGAAAAUAUUUUUUGGGAUAUGGAACCAUAUGGAGUCAGGUUUCAAGAGGAAGGCUUUUAUCCAGUUUAUUUUAAAUACUCCAACUAUUGAUUGAAAAUCAAUUGACUUUAUACCACCUUUAGCGUAAUCUUUGACAAGUUGUGAUUUUUUAAUGUAAUGUGUUUUAUUGCGCCAAAUGAAUUGAUAGAUUAUAGAGUUAAUCUUUUUAAUGCUUUUCGGGGUAAUGUAUAGUGAGUAUGCUGGAUAAACCAUCUUUGAGACGCCCUCUGAUUUGGAUAAUAGAUUGCGUCCAAAAAUUGUAAUAUCUCUCGUCAACCAAUGAUUUAGUGUUUUGGACAUGCCAUCAAUUUUGUCUUUUAGGUUUUUUGAUUCUCUACACUGUAAAAAAAAUCCGUAAAAAUACAGUACAAUCUACUAUAUAAACGUGAAGGAAUUUUCCGUAUUAGUCAUUUACAGGUAUUUUUCUGUAUUUCUCAACUACUGCAAUGCAUUGUGGGAAAAAGAACCUGAAAAGGAGGGAAAAGUAAGCGCAAGAGCAGCCAUUAGGCUUCUUUCAGGCUUCAUCUGGAUUUUGGAUUCUGAAGUUGGAGAAACUGCCUUCAAAUUUCUGUGUGCAGAGCAAUGGCCAAGAAAAGGAAAGACUUCCCCGAGUGGAAAAAAAAGAUGAAGAUACAAGCUGGUGAUGAUCCAGAGCAGCUGGUCUCAGGAAAUGAAGAAAAACCCUGAUCACCUUCUCUACAAACACAAG